AUUGAACGCUGGCGGCAUGCCUUACACAUGCAAGUCGAACGGCAGCACGGGGCAACCCUGGUGGCGAGUGGCGAACGGGUGAGUAAUGCAUCGGAACGUGCCCAGUAGUGGGGGAUAACCAGUCGAAAGACUGGCUAAUACCGCAUACGACCUACGGGUGAAAGCGGGGGACCGCAAGGCCUCGCGCUAUUGGAGCGGCCGAUGUCUGAUUAGCUAGUUGGCGGGGUAAGAGCCCACCAAGGCGACGAUCAGUAGCUGGUCUGAGAGGACGACAAGCCACACUGGGACUGAGACACGGCCCAGACUCCUACGGGAGGCAGCAGUGGGGAAUUUUGGACAAUGGGCGCAAGCCUGAUCCAGCCAUGCCGCGUGCGGGAAGAAGGCCUUCGGGUUGUAAACCGCUUUUGGCAGGAACGAAACGGCGCGAGCCAAUACCUCGCGCUAAUGACGGUACCUGCAGAAUAAGCACCGGCUAACUACGUGCCAGCCGCCGCCGUAACAC
rnacentral:rRNA from 1 species